CAAGUGAGACAAUGUUUUAAAUCAUCGUGGGUGGGUUCUGGAAUGCGAUGAGGAUAUUGACAGUGAAGAGACAAGAUGAAGCACAAUGUGGAAAGAGAGAAGAGAGAAAAAUAUGAAGAGAGAAGAUGGGUGAGGGUUUUGGGUUCUCUCAAAGAGAGAAGAUGAACCUCAGCGUGCGAAUAAACAAAAGAUAACUAUUAGAUCAAUUCUUUGUAUAACUGAUCUAAUAGGGGUUCAUAAUUUUCUUUUUCAAAAUUAAGAUAUUAGAUAAGCUUCUUCUAGGUGGAUAUUAGAAUGGUUCCUUCUAUA
rnacentral:lncRNA from 1 species